UACGAAGGGGGCUAGCGUUGCUCGGAAUCACUGGGCGUAAAGCGCACGUAGGCGGACUCUUAAGUCGGUGGUGAAAUCCUGGAGCUCAACUCCAGAACUGCCUUCGAUACUGAGAGUCUCGAGUCCGGGAGAGGUGAGUGGAACUGCGAGUGUAGAGGUGAAAUUCGUAGAUAUUCGCAAGAACACCGGUGGCGAAGGCGGCACUCUGGGCCGGUACUGACGCUGAGGGAGCGAAAGCGUGGGGAGCGAACAGG
rnacentral:rRNA from 1 species